UAUUUGCCUGUUUAGCUCAGAGUUCAGAGCGUGGCCCUUGUAAUGCAAUGGUUAUUGGUUCGACUCCAAUGGCAGGUUU